rnacentral:tRNA from 1 species
GGCCUGGUGGUCUAGUGUACGUUAAAUCGUUGAUAUUUAAAUAAUUUCACCCGUUCUAAUUUGUUAUUAGGGUAUGAUUGUCGCUUCGGGUGUGACAGGCCCCGGGUUCAAAUCCCGGCCAGGCCC